rnacentral:rRNA from 1 species
GUUAAAAUAAAAUUAAAGGACGAGAAGACCCUAUAGAUCUUUAUUUUUGUUAUUUAUAAAUUAAAAAGAAUUUUAAAAUUUAUAAUUUAAUAAAAAAUUUUAUUGGGGUGAUAUUAAAAUUUAAAAAACUUUUAAAAUUUAUUAACAUAAAUAUAUGAAUAAAUGAUCCAGUUUUAUUGAUUAAAAAUUUAAGUUACCUUAGGGAUAACAGCGUAAUUUUUUUUUAGAGUUCUUAUCGACAAAAAAGA